AGGUCAAGUGAAGAAGGGCGCACGGUGAAUGCCUUGGCACUGGAAGCCGAUGAAGGACGCGACUAACCGCGAAAGUCUUCGGGGAGCCGUAAGUAGGCUUUGAUCCGGAGGUCUCCGAAUGGGGGAACCCAGCAUGUGCAGACAUGCUAUCCUUAAGUGAAUACAUAGCUUAAGGAGGGAACACGCAGUGAACUGAAACAUCUAAGUAGCUGCAGGAAGAGAAAGAAAUAUCGAUUUCCCAAGUAGCGGCGAGCGAACAGGAAAGAGCCCAAACCGGCAGAUUUAUCUGCCGGGGUUGUAGGACUGAGACAUGGCACUUCAGAGGAUAGCAGAAGCGUUUGGGAAAGCGCGCCAGAGAGGGUGAGAGCCCCGUAAGCGAAAUCCAAAGAAGGCCUAUCAGUAUCCUGAGUAGGGCGGGACACGUGAAAUCCCGUUUGAAUCCGCGAGGACCAUCUCGCAAGGCUAAAUACUAACCAGUGACCGAUAGUGAACCAGUACCGUGAGGGAAAGGUGAAAAGAACCCCGGGAGGGGAGUGAAAGAGAACCUGAAACCGUGUGCCUACAAGUAGUCAGAGCC
rnacentral:rRNA from 1 species